UACGGAGGGGACUAGCGUUGUUCGGAAUUACUGGGCGUAAAGCGCACGUAGGCGGAUUUGUAAGUCAGGGGUGAAAUCCCGGGGCUCAACCUCGGAACUGCCUUUGAUACUGCAAAUCUCGAGUCCGGAAGAGGUGAGUGGAAUCCUAGUGUAGAGGUGAAAUUCGUAGAUAUUAGGAAGAACACCAGUGGCGAAGGCGGG
rnacentral:rRNA from 1 species